UGCAAGUCGAGCGGGACCUUGAAAGUAGCUUGCUACAGACAAGGUUUAGCGGCGGACGGGUGAGUAACACGUAGGCAACCUGCCUGUAAGCUGGGGAUAACCUCCGGAAACGGAAGCUAAGACCCGAUAGGAGAUGCUCUCGCAUGGGAGCGUUUGGAAAGACGGAGCAAUCUGUCGCUUACGGAUGGGCCUGCGGCGCAUUAGCUAGUAGGUGAGGUAACGGCUCACCUAGGCGACGAUGCGUAGCCGACCUGAGAGGGUGAACGGCCACACUGGGACUGAGACACGGCCCAGACUCCUAUGGGAGGCAGCAGUAGGGAAUCUUCGGCAAUGGACGAAAGUCUGACCGAGCAACGCCGCGUGAGUGAAGAAGGGUUUCGGCUCGUAAAACUCUGUUGCCAAGGAAGAAGGGUAAGGAGAGUAACUGCUCUUUAUUUGACGGUACUUGAGAAGAAAGCCCCGGCUAACUACGUGCCAGCAGCCGCGGUAAUACGUAGGGGGCAAGCGUUGUCCGGAAUUAUUGGGCGUAAAGCGCGCACAGGCGGUUUUUUAAGUCUGGUGUAUAAGCUCAGGGCUCAACUCUGGGAGGCACUGGAAACUGGAAGACUGGAGUACAGGAGAGGAAAGUGGAAUUCCACGUGUAGCGGUGAAAUGCGUAGAGAUGUGGAGGAACACCAGUGGCGAAGGCGACUUUCUGGCCUGAAACUGACGCUGA
rnacentral:rRNA from 1 species